rnacentral:lncRNA from 1 species
UGUUUUCCUUGUAAUUUGGUAAUAUACGACGAGAUAAAUCUCACAGUCUAUAGCAGAAUUUUUCAAUUCUUAAUCGUUCAAAUCUGUUACACAUUUUCACUGCUAAAUCCUUAAUACACUACAAAGGUCAAGCCGAUUAAUUCCGAAAGAUAACGGUGUUUACUAAGAAAUUAUUUUCGAAGUAAGAUGAUAUGAACGUACUAUGACACAUGUUACAGUUUUCUGCACACACACAGCUGUUUUUACUUGAUGUCAAAUUCCAAUACGGUUAAAAGAUUGAUUGUUUGUGUAAAAAUUUCGAUCGACUCAAAACGAAAAUUUAAAGAUCAGAUGACCACUAACAGUUACGAUUUUGUUUAAUGACAUACAUGUAGUUUAAUGACAGUUCUUUAAAUCUUUCAUAAUGCAGUUAUCUAUUUGCUGACGAAAAACGCCCAUGGUUACUUCCGAUUAUUUGCUAAAGCAUCCUGAACAUCCAAAUUUAACACAAUGAUCUAAACAUCUGGUCCGAUGUCAAAUGCAUGGUAGCUAUAUAACUAUAUACCCUGUUGUAUGAACAUUCUUAGAUUGUACCGUAGUCAAAAUUAAUUUCGCCGCCAGCCUGUUUGGUCUAAAAUGACAGAAGUUGUAUCACCAUCCUUGGGGAAACCAGCUCACAUAAAAUACACUUACCGGUAUUAUAUUGAAGUUCUCCACCAUAUUACGUUCACGAGGGACAUACACUUGGCUUCCCAUGCUGCUUAAAUUAUAAAUUUCCCAAGAGCAACAAAAACAAUUCUACUGCCAAGGCAAGUUUAUUCCAAAGAGACAUAUAACAUCAUAUUACUAUUCUAUAUGAUAUAAGACACAAUUGUUAUGAUUUUACCAUAAAACAUAUACGACCAUACAUAUACAUAUACAAAACAAUAUCUGGUAUUGUUUUCAACGGUAUCAAUAAUCUACAGGCAUUUGAAAACAAUGUGGUUGAAAUGACAAAAUGCAUAACCGCUUACUUUAAAUUCGAUUUUUUUUAUCUUCACCGAAUAAUAAAGAAAGGGUAACGCAUAUCAUCUGUCUUGAAACAGCUGGAGAAAGAUGGCCUUUAUCAAUUAUUUUCCCUAAAAAAAUAAAUUGAAAAUUUAAUGAUUAUCAUCUGAUUUUUUUUAUUCGAGUAAAGUGCUGUUGAGUUCACUUGUUUACUUGUUUGCGUUUUUUUUUUAUACAUCUUAAGAUGGCAAAGUGUAGAUUAUACACAAACACGUAUACGUAGUACAUAUAAAUAACUUGUACGUGUGUCUUUAGUUGAAUUGAGUCAGAUACUUACAUCUAUGCUACAUGUAAAUACAAACAACCUACCUGAUAC